AACUUCAAUUAAAAAAAUAACAAGAACAUCCCCCAAGUACUGGAGAGGGUCCCUAAAAGGGCGGGCUGAAGUUGUGGCCCGGUUUUGGGGUGCGCGUUUUGGGCUGUGGUGGCCGUGCUCCCGCCUCCAGUUGCAACGUCUCCCAGUUUCCCUUCUGCCUGUGUGUUGUGCUGGCCGGUGCAGUAAUGUAUAGCUUCGGUUGUCUGGGGAAUGGUCGGUGGUGAUCUUUUAAACGGAGAAAGGAUUUGUGCUGCACUUUUGUGAGGAAGUGAAUAAAUCCUGGUUAUUUACAUAGCAGAAGUUGGUCUGCAUCCCCACCCCCAUAACAAACGGCCCACAGCACUCCCCUGACAGCAUCGUGCUCUGCUUUUUGUCUCCUGCAAAGAUUUUGGAAAUCCGAGGCUUGGGGACACGGUUGGGUCUUUCUGCAGCCCCACAGCAAGAACAAAGUCUGGAGGGAAGGAUGUGAAUUUGAAAAUCAGAUGCCCCGCUUCUCUUUUGGACAAUAUUGAUGAAAACACAGAUUCAUCCCUUUGGAGGGUGGGGGUCAAUCUUCAAAAUUCAUCUUAAAAGCAGCAAAUGUGUACAAAAGGUAAAUAGGGUAUAAUUUCCAUGACAGCAGAUCUUUGACUCGGCCAUUUCUGAACAUUUCAGCCUGAAAACCAAGUCAGAAGCACAUGACAGAAGUCAAGGCACACCCUAAACAGUGGAUCUUAUCCUAUAUGGAAAGAAAGCUCAAAAUAAUGGUUUAAAUGAUGCUGAAUCGAGUUUGCAGUCAGGAGCUCUUAGCACAUGGAUAGUCCAUUGAUUGGUUCCACUUUGCACGAGGAUAACUGUCUAAAUCCCCACCCACCUUCUGUGUCCUGAAACUGCUCUGAUUGACUAUGAUGGAACAAAGUGUAUUGCCAAAAGAAAACACUGUCUGUUCUCCUACAGCUUAGAUGAGAAGCCUAGCCUGGCCGGCAGCCAGUGACUAGUCUGGGAGUCAUGGUUUGCAAGUGUUUGUGGUCAGAUGACACGGAACUAGUGCUUAGAAAGAUGUACAGGACCUGAAACACUCAAAAGACUUGCCGGUUCUGAAAUCCUGCAUGUUGAUGCCAUAGUUGUAUCACAUCUUUUAUUUAGAGAAGGAAAGAGAAACUGUUCUGAUGUUUAGGUGAUUAAAACAUAACUAAAUAACA